UACGAAGGGGGCUAGCGUUGCUCGGAAUCACUGGGCGUAAAGGGCGCGUAGGCGGCUUUCUAAGUCAGGGGUGAAAUCCUGGAGCUCAACUCCAGAACUGCCUUUGAUACUGGAGAGCUUGAGUUCGGGAGAGGUGAGUGGAACUGCGAGUGUAGAGGUGAAAUUCGUAGAUAUUCGCAAGAACACCAGUGGCGAAGGCGGCUCACUGGCCCGAUACUGACGCUGAGGCGCGAAAGCGUGGGGAGCAAACAGG
rnacentral:rRNA from 1 species